UACAGAGGUUGCAAGCGUUGUUCGGAUUUAUUGGGCGUAAAGGGUCCGUAGGCGGUUUAGAAAGUCGGGUGUGAAAUCCCACAGCUCAACUGUGGAACUGCAUUCGAAACUUCUAGACUAGAGUAUGAGAGGGGUAAAAGGAAUUCCCGGUGUAAGGGUGAAAUCUGCAGAGAUCGGGAGGAACACCAGUCGCGAAGGCGUUUUACUGGCUCAUUACUGACGCUCAGGGACGAAAGCGUGGGGAGCAAACAGG
rnacentral:rRNA from 1 species